GAUGAACGCUGGCGGCGUGCCUAAUACAUGCAAGUCGAGCGAACAGACGAGGAGCUUGCUCCUCUGACGUUAGCGGCGGACGGGUGAGUAACACGUGGAUAACCUACCUAUAAGACUGGGAUAACUUCGGGAAACCGGAGCUAAUACCGGAUAAUAUAUUGAACCGCAUGGUUCAAUAGUGAAAGACGGUUUUGCUGUCACUUAUAGAUGGAUCCGCGCCGCAUUAGCUAGUUGGUAAGGUAACGGCUUACCAAGGCAACGAUGCGUAGCCGACCUGAGAGGGUAAGCGGCCACCCUGGACCUGAGAGACGGCCCAGACUCCUACGGGAGGCCGCAGUAGGGCAACUGCCGCAAGGAGCGAAGUCCUGACGGAGCGACGCCACGUGAGUGAUGAAGUACUUCGGGUCGUAAAACUCUUUUAUUCGGGAAGAGCAAAUGUGUAAGUAACUAUGCAGGUCUUGACGGUACCUAAACAGAAAGCCACGGCUAACUACGU
rnacentral:rRNA from 1 species